UGGGGAAUUUUGGACAAUGGGCGCAAGCCUGAUCCAGCCAUGCCGCGUGUCUGAAGAAGGCCUUCGGGUUGUAAAGGACUUUUGUCAGGGAAGAAAAGGACAGGGUUAAUACCUCUGUUUGAUGACGGUACCUGAAGAAUAAGCACCGGCUAACUACGUGCCAGCAGCCGCGGUAAUACGUAGGGUGCGAGCGUUAAUCGGAAUUACUGGGCGUAAAGCGAGCGCAGACGGUUACUUAAGCAGGAUGUGAAAUCCCCGGGCUCAACCUGGGGACUGCAUUCGAAACUGGCAGGCUAGAGUCUUGUAGAGGGGGGUAGAAUUCCAGGUGUAGCGGUGAAAUGCGUAGAGAUCUGGAGGAAUACCGGUGGCGAAGGCGGCCCCCUGGACAAAGACUGACGCUCAGGUGCGAAAGCGUGGGGAGCAAACAGGAUUAGAUACCCUGGUAGUCCACGCUGUAAACGAUGUCGAUUUGGAGGUUGUGCCCUUGAGGCGUGGCUUCCGGAGCUAACGCGUUAAAUCGACCGCCUGGGGAGUACGGCCGCAAGGUUA
rnacentral:rRNA from 1 species